AUUGAACGCUGGCGGCAGGCCUAACACAUGCAAGUCGAACGGGAUGGCGGACGGGUGAGUAAUGCCUAGGAAUCUGCCUGGUAGUGGGGGAUAACGUCCGGAAACGGGCGCUAAUACCGCAUACUAUCAGAUGAGCCUAGGUCGGAUUAGCUAGUUGGUGGGGUAAAGGCCUACCAAGGCGACGAUCCGUAACUGGUCUGAGAGGAUGAUCAGUCACACUGGAACUGAGACACGGUCCAGACUCCUACGGGAGGCAGCAGUGGGGAAUAUUGGACAAUGGGCGAAAGCCUGAUCCAGCCAUGCCGCGUGUGUGAAGAAGGUCUUCGGAUUGUAAAGCACUUUAAGUUGGGAGGCGUUACCAACAGAAUAAGCACCGGCUAACUUCGUGCCAGCAGCCGCGGUAAUUC
rnacentral:rRNA from 1 species